rnacentral:rRNA from 1 species
GAGCAAAUCGCUCCGGUCUUCGUACCGGCGAUGUAUCUUUCAAGUGUCUGCCUUAUCAACUUUCGAUGGUAGUUUAUGUGCCUACCAUGGUUGUAACGGGUAACGGAGAAUUAGGGUUCGACUCCGGAGAGGGAGCCUGAGAAACGGCUACCACUUCUAAGGAAGGCAGCAGGCGCGCAAAUUACCCACUCUCGGCACGAGGAGGUAGUGACGAAAAAUAACGAGACGGUGAUCUCAUGAUUACCGUCAUCGGAAUGAGAACAAUCUAAACCCUUUAACGAGGACCUAGCGGAGGGCAAGUCUGGUGCCAGCAGCCGCGGUAAUUCCAGCUCCGCCAGUGUAUAUCUAUGCUGCUGCGGUUAAAAAGCUCGUAGUUGGAUCUGCGUGCCACGGGAGGGU